rfam:Mesorhizobium sp. Root157 contig_8, whole genome shotgun sequence.
AUGUCGGAUUCCAAGCUGCCCGAUAUCCAGGCGGGUUACGAGAAGGGCAUCACCAAUGUGAUGGCGGGUCUGGCCGGGCUCAACCUCGUCUAUGAAUCGG